CCCAGCUCAGCACCUGGCACAUGCUUGGGGCUCAAGUACCUGUUCACCAAGUGACCCAGUGAGUAACAGAAAUGGCGUUGCCCCAGAGGCGUGACCACCAAGAACUUGUCAAGCCACUCCUGGAAGAGCAGUGGGGCCUCGUGAUGCUCGAGGGGAGACCCCCGCAGAGGCCCUGGAGGACAUUCUGCCAUCACCCGCUUCCAACAGAGAUCCUCUGGCCUGUUCCCAGAGGAGAAGGGCAGGCAGACAGGAAUCGCGUCUGGGGGUUUUACCAGAUGCAGGCUGGACAGAGGUCAGAGAGACUGUCUUCAGAGAUUCUGGUCAACCGCGCAGCUGUUUUUAAGUGUGGACUCUAGGCUCCUGUGGCAGUUGGAGGAGGUCACCUGUGCCAGAACUGUACUGUGAGACCCUAACCUGCACUGCUCGUGGCUCUGUCUCCAGCAUCCAGAACAUUGCUGGGCAGGUGUGAACGCGUUGUCUAUGGAAUGACCAAGAGAAUAAAUGAAGUCUACCUUAAUAACGACGAUCCUGUAUUCUCAUUCACUUUAAAAAAUUGC
ensembl:lncRNA